rnacentral:lncRNA from 1 species
CAAAAAAUCAGGAGAAAGCAAGAGAGGAGCUGGUUUCAGUCAUGCUGAAAAGGAAAAAAAAAAUCAACACUUUCUGGUUUUGUGAAAAUACAGGACUAAGUAGAGAAGGAAGCCCCUCUUCGCUUACCCUCUGCAGGACUGACUACAAGAGCUCGGCUGCUAUUAGGCAUCAGAAACCCACAUGGCUGAGUCCCUUCCUGGGCUUCAUUGCUUCUGCUCCACAGGAACUCACUCAGGUAUUAAGUGAAUUUUCUCAUCCUUCCCUUUAUAAAGCUAGUGCUUCACUGUAACAGCAAUAAUGACAUAUUUCACCUGAAAUGUGAUGCUUAUGAGAGCCUAGUUUGAAAUAAAGAUUAUAAAAAUGUAAUGUCUAGCA